CCGUGCAGCCGGGGAGAUAGCGGUGCCCUGUACCUGCAAUCCGCUAUAGCAGGGGUGAUGUUUUGCCUAGGGUGACUUACUGUAGGGCUGCCCUCUAUAAGUGAUGUUGACGUUUGGGUCUUGCGCAACAGAAAUUCGUGAACCGUGUCAGGUCAGGAAUGGAGCAGCACUAAGCGAAAGCUUCUGU
rnacentral:SRP_RNA from 1 species